rnacentral:rRNA from 1 species
AUUGAACGCUGGCGGCAGGCCUAACACAUGCAAGUCGAACGGUAACAGGAAGAAGCUUGCUUCUUUGCUGACGAGUGGCGGACGGGUGAGUAAUGUCUGGGAAACUGCCUGAUGGAGGGGGAUAACUACUGGAAACGGUAGCUAAUACCGCAUAACGUCGCAAGACCAAAAAGGGGGACGUUCGGGCCUCUUGCCAUCGGAUGUGCCCAGAUGGGAUUAGCUAGUAGGUGGGGUAACGGCUCACCUAGGCGACGAUCCCUAGCUGGUCUGAGAGGAUGACCAGCCACACUGGAACUGAGACACGGUCCAGACUCCUACGGGAGGCAGCAGUGGGGAAUAUUGCACAAUGGGCGCAAGCCUGAUGCAGCCAUGCCGCGUGUAUGAAGAAGGCCUUCGGGUUGUAAAGUACUUUCAGCGGGGAGGAAGGGAGUAAAGUUAAUACCUUUGCUCAUUGACGUUACCCGCAGAAGAAGCACCGGCUAACUCCGUG